CCUGCGGAAGGAUCAUUAAUGAAUGUAACAUCGGAGGGAGGAAAACAGGGGUUAAAGCAAGCUGUGGCUGGUCUUGUAAUGAGGCAUGUGCACGCUCGCUCCCUGAGGACCUCUCGACGUCUUUCAUCUUCUCACCUGUGCACCUAAUGUAGGAGUUCAGAGUCGGGCAUGGUUUUGGUAAAACGAAACUGUGCGAGCGCCUUUUCCCUGCGGGGGGAGGUGAGCGCCUUUCCCUGCGGGGGAGGUUGACUAGAACUCCUAUGUAUUGAAAGAUACAUCUUCGUGUAGAAAGUCUUUGAAUGUUUACGAUCAUAGAGCUGCGACUUCUAGGAGACGCGGGUCUUUGAGUUAAAAGUUAUUACAACUUUCAGCAAUGGAUCUCUUGGCUCUCGCAUCGAUGAAGAACGCAGCGAAAAGCGAUAUGUAAUGUGAAUUGCAGAUCUACAGUGAAUCAUCGAAUCUUUGAACGCACCUUGCGCUCCUUGGUAUUCCGAGGAGCAUGCCUGUUUGAGUGUCAGUUAAUUCAUCAACCCCUCUCGAUUAGGUUCGAGGGGGAGCUUGGAUAGUGGGGGCUGCCGGAGACUUGGGACUACUAGUAGUUCCAGGACUCGGGCUCUCCUUAAAUGCAUUGGGCUUGCGGUAGACUUUCGAGUUUGCGGGAAAAGGCUUUCGGCGUGAUAAUGAUCGCCGUGUGCUGAAGCGCAUGAAUGAAAGGUUCCGUGCCUCUAAUACGCAUCGACUUGUCUUUCGGGACUCGUCUUUCUUUGACAUAUUGA
rnacentral:rRNA from 1 species